rnacentral:rRNA from 1 species
UCCUACGGGGGGCAGCAGUGAGGAAUAUUGGUCAAUGGGCGGGAGCCUGAACCAGCCAAGUCGCGUGAGGGACGACGGUCCUAUGGAUUGUAAACCUCUUUUGUCGGGGAACAAAGGCGUCCACGGGUGGGCGGAUGAGUGUACCCGAAGAAAAAGCAUCGGCUAACUCCGUGCCAGCAGCCGCGGUAAUACGGAGGAUGCGAGCGUUAUCCGGAUUUAUUGGGUUUAAAGGGUGCGCAGGCGGGCUGUUAAGCCGGCGGUAAAAAUUCAGGGCUCAACCCUGUCGGGCCGUCGGAACUGGCAGG